UUAAAGAAAGCGUAAUAGCUCACUGGUCGAGUCGGCCUGCGCGGAAGAUGUAACGGGGCUAAACCAUGCACCGAAGCUGCGGCAGCGACGCUGAUGCGUUGUUGGGUAGGGGAGCGUUCUGUAAGCCUGCGAAGGUGUGCUGUGAGGCAUGCUGGAGGUAUCAGAAGUGCGAAUGCUGACAUAAGUAACGAUAAAGCGGGUGAAAAGCCCGCUCGCCGGAAGACCAAGGGUUCCUGUCCAACGUUAAUCGGGGCAGGGUGAGUCGACCCCUAAGGCGAGGCCGAAAGGCGUAGUCGAUGGGAAACAGGUUAAUAUUCCUGUACUUGGUGUUACUGCGAAGGGGGGACGGAGAAGGCUAUGUUGGCCGGGCGACGGUUGUCCCGGUUUAAGCGUGUAGGCUGGUUUUCCAGGCAAAUCCGGAAAAUCAAGGCUGAGGCGUGAUGACGAGGCACU
rnacentral:rRNA from 1 species